rnacentral:rRNA from 1 species
UACGUAGGGUCCGAGCGUUGUCCGGAAUUAUUGGGCGUAAAGAGCUCGUAGGCGGUUUGUCGCGUCUGCUGUGAAAUCUAGAGGCUCAACCUCUAGCCUGCAGUGGGUACGGGCAGACUUGAGUGGUGUAGGGGAGACUGGAAUUCCCGGUGUAGCGGUGGAAUGCGCAGAUAUCAGGAGGAACACCGAUGGCGAAGGCAGGUCUCUGGGCACUUACUGACGCUGAGGAGCGAAAGCGUGGGGAGCGAACAGG